UACGGGGGGAGCAAGCGUUGUUCGGAUUUACUGGGCGUAAAGGGCGCGUAGGCGGCCACCGCAAGUCGGUUGUGAAAUCUCUGGGCUUAACCCAGAAAGGUCAACCGAUACUGCGGGGCUAGAGUGCAGAAAGGGGGCAACUGGAAUUCUCGGUGUAGCGGUGAAAUGCGUAGAUAUCGAGAGGAACACCUGCGGCGAAGGCGGGUGCUGGGCUGACACUGACGCUGAAGCGCGAAAGCUAGGGGAGCGAACGGG
rnacentral:rRNA from 1 species